rnacentral:misc_RNA from 1 species
UGUAACAAGGUUUCCGUAGGUGAACCUGCGGAAGGAUCAUUACCGAGUGCGGGCUGCCUCCGGGCGCCCAACCUCCCACCCGUGACUACCUAACACUGUUGCUUCGGCGGGGAGCCCUCUCGGGGGCGAGCCGCCGGGGACUACUGAACUUCAUGCCUGAGAGUGAUGCAGUCUGAGUCUGAAUAUAAAAUCAGUCAAAACUUUCAACAAUGGAUCUCUUGGUUCCGGCAUCGAUGAAGAACGCAGCGAACUGCGAUAAGUAAUGUGAAUUGCAGAAUUCAGUGAAUCAUCGAGUCUUUGAACGCACAUUGCGCCCCCUGGCAUUCCGGGGGGCAUGCCUGUCCGAGCGUCAUUGCUGCCCAUCAAGCCCGGCUUGUGUGUUGGGUCGUCGUCCCCCCCGGGGGACGGGCCCGAAAGGCAGCGGCGGCACCGUGUCCGGUCCUCGAGCGUAUGGGGCUUUGUCACCCGCUCGAUUAGGGCCGGCCGGGCGCCAGCCGACGUCUCCAACCAUUUUUUUCAGGUUGACCUCGGAUCA